GCCCUGGUAUUCCAACGGCAGAGAAAAUGAGCUCAAACCUCAUACAGUGUGGGUUCGAGUCCCACCCAGGGCA
rnacentral:tRNA from 1 species